AGCUCCACUAGCGUAUAUUAAAAUUGUUGCGGUUAAAACGUUCGAAGUUUAUUCUUGUCCAACACGGGUGCUACUCCUAAUGAUGGUAGUAGGUCACUGGAUUGUUGCGACUAUAAGACUGGGUGCCUAUAUUGUGGCGCUUGAUGCCUUUCAUCGGGUGCAGCGUUUCCACAAGCCCAGCUGCUAUUACCUUGAACAAAUUAGAGUGCUCUAAGCAGGCUAGCUACACGGCCGAGAAUAAUCUUGCAUGGAAUAAUGGAAUAUGACCUCGGUCUUAAUAUUCAUUGGUUUGUAAUCAGAUCAAGAGGUAAUGAUUAACAGAAGUAGUUGGGGGCAUUAGUAUUACGGCGCGAGAGGUGAAAUUCGUAGACCGUCGUAAGACUAACUAAAGCGAAAGCAUUUGCCAUGGAUGCUUUCA
rnacentral:rRNA from 1 species